rnacentral:rRNA from 1 species
ACUCCUACGGGAGGCAGCAGUGGGGAAUUUUGGACAAUGGGGGAAACCCUGAUCCAGCCAUCCCGCGUGUGCGAUGAAGGCCUUCGGGUUGUAAAGCACUUUUGGCAGGAAAGAAACGUCGUGGGUUAAUACCCCGCGAAACUGACGGUAC